UACGUAGGGUGCAAGCGUUAAUCGGAAUUACUGGGCGUAAAGCGUGCGUAGGUGGUUUGUUAAGUCUGUUGUGAAAACCCAGGGCUCAACCCUGGGCCUGCAUUCGAUACGGGCAGACUAGAGUUCGGUAGGGGAGACUGGAAUUCCUGGUGUAGCGGUGAAAUGCGCAGAUAUCAGGAGGAACACCGGUGGCGAAGGCGGUCUGCUGGGGCAGUUGGCUGACACUGAGGCGCGACAGCGUGGGGAGCAAACAGG
rnacentral:rRNA from 1 species